UGAGGUAUCCUCACAAUGGAAUUCGAUGGUUAAGUAAUAUUAUGAAAAGAUAUGUAGGAAUGUAUCUAUUGACUCAUUUGAUUUUGUAGACCAAGAGGAAAGUAGCUAUUGUAUUUAGAUAGUUAGGAAAACCCUAAUUUCCCAGAGGUCACGGAUAUCUGCUAAACCACACGCCAAGCAAUCAGAACACGAAAUAAAGAUGAGAAAAAUAAGAAAUCGAAAAAGUGAG
rnacentral:lncRNA from 1 species